rnacentral:rRNA from 1 species
UACGUAGGGUGCGAGCGUUGUCCGGAAUUACUGGGCGUAAAGAGCUCGUAGGUGGUUUGUCGCGUUGUCCGUGAAAACUCACAACUCAAUUGUGGGCGUGCGGGCGAUACGGGCAGACUGGAGUACGGAAGAGGUAGCUGGAAUUCCCGGUGUAGCGGUGAAAUGCGUUAGAUAUCGGGAGGAACACCUGAGGCGAAGGCGGGCUACUGGGGCCGAUACUGACGCUGAUGCGCGGAAAGCCAGGGGAGCGAACGGG